CAAAAACGGUUAAAAGAUGAAAGGAAUACAUUUCUAAUCAUAGAUACUAGGAAAAGGAUAAAGGUGAUGGCGAAACAAGUCUGUAGAGUUAUGUAACAUUCGACUAAUCAUGCUUUAUUUGGUAAUAUUGGCGGAAUUUAAAUCAUCAUAGGUUAAUCCAUUCUUUGCUGUUCACGUGCUACAGCAUCGGCCAUUUCCUCGUCAUUAUAGAUGUGAAAUCCACCCUCAGCGGUAACUUUGGCAAGUUGAACAUUUUUGGAAUCAAGCUUUUCUUCCAUUACUUGUCGAAGUACUUUGAGAAUCAAUACUUCAGCUUCCUCGAGAGUCAUAUCCUGAACGACAUUGUUAGUUUAACAAAAAAGGAAAAAGAUAAAGCAAAUAAAGUUAAUACGUACUUUGUGAAAUUCCUUCACUAGUUCGCUUUUCGCGGGUUCACUACCUGAACCAAUAGCUUUAGCUUCAUAACGGAAAUAUGUACCUGAAGGCUCAGAGUGGUAUCUGUAUAGGAAGUUAGCAUCUUAACGAAUUACAACAAAAGGAAUCCAAACAAUGGCAGGUGUACGAAGAUAAUCAAAAAACAAAAGCAUUAACACAAUAGCCACAUCGUUCCAUAAAAAUAAAAUAAUUUUGACUUACAGUUGAGGACCAUGCUCAUCUAUUCCAGCAAUUAACAAAGCAACACCAAACGGUCUUGACAUGAUGCGUUCUUCGCCAUCUUCUCCUUCACCAAAGCGAAGUGCGAGAUCACAAAUUGACUGGGUAGUACUUUCUAUACCUUGUGGUUCAUCAUAGGUAAAACGAUGAUUUUGUGUUUGAACUCUAGCAUGUUCAAUAAUUGUACGGGCAUCAGCUGUUAGGCCUGAAAUUGCGCAACCAAUGUGUGAAUCAAUUUCAAACAGCUUUUCAACAGAAUGAGAUUCCAUAAGUGGACUAGUUAAUCUCUUUUCAACACCAAGGACGACGGCAUCCUUAGUUUUCACACCAAUAGCAGUGGAUCCUAAUUUGAUGGCUUCGAUUGCAUAUUCCACUUGAAACAACCGGCCUUCAGGAGAAAAGGUAUUUACUCCUCUAUCAUAUUCUAAAGAUUAGCUUAAGAAACUUGUACAGUUUACUUACCUGAUCUAGUCAUAAACAUUUUUAAAAGAGAACGUGUAAAGUAGUAGUUGCUGACUGACCAAAACCCAGCCAAAUGAUAAUAUCGUUAAUAUU